GGACGCGUAGGAUAGCCAGUCAAUCCCCGCUCCGUUAUAGUGGUGAUCUCCGGUUUGAAUCCCGACGCGUCUA
rnacentral:tRNA from 1 species